rnacentral:rRNA from 1 species
UACGGAGGGUGCAAGCGUUAUCCGGAUUCACUGGGUUUAAAGGGUGCGUAGGAGGGUGAGUAAGUCAGUGGUGAAAUCUUCGAGCUUAACUCGCAAACUGCCGUUGAUACUACUUGUCUUGAAUACCGUGGAGGUGAGCGGAAUAUGUCAUGUAGCGGUGAAAUGCUUAGAUAUGACACAGAACACCAAUUGCGAAGGCAGCUCACUACACGAAUAUUGACUCUGAGGCACGAAAGCGUGGGGAUCAAACAGG